AAAAUCUAAAAUCUGUCAGAAUGGUGAUUAAGUUAGAAUUUAAUAUUUUCUUUCGUGAACAAGUAUGGAUUUGUUUUGGACAAGGCAAAAUAUAAAACUUGUUGUUUUUAUGAUUGUUAUUUUUAUCUUGGAUGUUAUUCAAAAUUUCAACAAUAAUAAUAAUAGUUUUUCCUUAUUUACGUCAACUUCUAAUUGUGAGAAUGAUGUAAAUUUGUGACAUUCUAGGUUUGGCCAUA
rnacentral:lncRNA from 1 species